GAUGAACGCUAGCGGCAGGCCUAAUACAUGCAAGACGAACGGUAAGUUGAGUAGCAAUACUUGACCUAGAGUGUCGCACGGGUGCGUAACACGUAUGCAACCUACCCAUAACAGGAGGAUAGCUCCCCGAAAGGGGAAUUAACCCUCCAUAGUAAUAUUGGAUGGCAUCAUUUGAUAUUUAAAACUGAGGUGGUUAUGGAUGGGCAUGCGUCUGAUUAGUUAGUUGGCGGUGUAACGGACCACCAAGACGAUGAUCCGUAGGGGAACUGAGAGGUUGAUCCCCCACACUGGCACUGAGAUACGGGCCAGACUCCUACGGGAGGCAGCAGUAGGGAAUAUUGGUCAAUGGAUGGAAGUCUGAACCAGCCAUGCCGCGUGCAGGAAGAAGGCCUUAUGGGUUGUAAACUGCUCUUGCCAGGGGAUAAAAUAGCUGUGCGCAGCGAAUUGCAGGUACCUGGUGAAUAAGCCACGGCUAACUACGUGCCAGCAGCCGCGGUAAUACGUAGGUGGCAAGCGUUGUCCGGAUUUAUUGGGUUUAAAGGGUGCGUAGGCGGCCUUGUAAGUCAGUGGUGAAAUACUCCAGCUUAACUGGAGGGGUGCCAUUGAUACUGCAGGGCUUGAGUAAAGUUGAAGUUGGCGGAAUUGACGGUGUAGCGGUGAAAUGCUUAGAUACCGUCAAGAACACCGAUAGUGAAGACAGCUAACUAAGCUUUAACUGACGCUGAGGCACGAAAGUGUGGGGAUCAAACAGGAUUAGAUACCCUGGUAGUCCACACUGUAAACGUUGAUGACUCGCUGUUGGCGAUACACUGCCAGCGGCCAAGCGCAAGCGAUAAGUCAUCCACCUGGGGAGUACGCCGGCAACGGUG
rnacentral:rRNA from 1 species